rnacentral:misc_RNA from 1 species
GAUGAAGAAUGUAGCGAAAUGCGAUACUUGGUGUGAAUUGCAGAAUCCCGUGAACCAUCGAGUCUUUGAACGCAAGUUGCGCCCGAAGCCAUUAGGCCGAGGGCACGCCUGCCUGGGCGUCACACGUCGUUGCCCCCCCAUCUACUCCUUCGGGAUUGCGGGGGGCGGAUGAUGGCCUCUCGUGCGCCUCGUCGCGCGGUUGGCCUAAAUGCCAAGUCCUCGGCGACGCACGCCACGACAAUCGGUGGUUGCGAAACCUCGGUUGCCUGUCGUGUGCGGUCGUCGCGCAUCGAGGGCUCGAAAAAAUUGCCGGGCUUCGGCUCGACUUUCAACGCGACCCCAGGUCAGGCGGGGUUACCCGCUGAAUUUAAGCAUAUCAAUAAGCGGAGGA